AUUCGCUUAAUCUAGACGUUCGGAGUGUUUAGUGAAGUUUUCGUAUUUUGAGAUAAUUUAGUUGGUAUUAGUUCGAGAUAGCGGAUCGAUAUUUAAACAAAAAUUUUGAUAUUUUUAGUAUUAGAAAUAUUAUUGGAAUAAUAUUUGAAGUUUUGGGAAUUUUCUGAGUAAUUAAGAUUAGACCGGAAAUAUGAUAUAUUGGUCGAAUUUGGAUUGUCGGUGUUAUUUAAGGGCACAUUUGGAAUUAUUAAAUUGAAGUCGAAAAAUAAUAUUAAGAAUAAUAUUAUUUGUAAGUCGGAAUUAUUAUAUCAGUGGAAUAUUAUUAAGUGAGGUAUUGGUUAAUUUGAGUUAUUUAUCUUAUUGGGCCUAAAUUGGUUUGUAGAGAAUAAUAGAGAAGAGUUGUUAUAUGCUAAGCCCAAUUGAAAUAAUAAAAAUAGGGUUUUAGAGAUUGAGAAGAGGAGUGUUCUCAUUUGGGGGAAAAGUUGAAGAGAAGGAGGCUAUGUCUUGAAGGGGAGACUAGAAGCUUGAAGAUGCAAUUGGAGAUCCAUUGAGUUGCUUCCAUUGAUAAGGUGUUCGAGUAUGAAGACUUAGUUGCCGUAAAUCGAGUCGGUUGUCGCUCUGAUACGUAGCACUCGGGGGGACGAUUUAUAAUGUUUAUGAUGUUGUUGUUUAUUGUGAAUAUCCUAGUUUAUUAGGACGAUAUGUUAAGUGAAGUUUCUUUAUUAAUGUGAUGUUGUUUAUGUGAUUAAGAUGUUACUUGAUUCGGAAAUUGAGAAUCAUGACUCCGUUGUUUUAUUAAUAAAAGAAGUUAUUUUGUUUUAGAAAGUGCUAUGUAUCCGCUAAAUGCGAUGAAGUUAUUUAUUAUUGAAGUGAAUAUGUGACGCCUCAUUUGUUUGUCGAGAAAUUUUUAAAUACUCUGAUAUUUUCCGCAUUAUAAUUGUCGGGUAGAAAUGGGGUGUUACAUAAGUGGUAUCAGAGCAGGUCGGUCCGUCUGACCAAGUUGUCGAGUUUGUUGAGUUUGUACGACAGUUGAAUGCUGUCAGUGUUUUUAUCUUGUAGUACGCGACAGGUGUGUGGAACACUGUUGGUGCUUGUUUGUUUUGUUGCAGGGAGUAGUUUGACGACAAGUGGGGGAGAAGCCUUGCUUCUAGAAGAGGUUUCUAUUAUGAAAGAUAGUCUGGUAUGCUGUCGAUAAGCGACGAUGCAAGUGUUGUUGAGAGUUUUGGAUAUUACCCGGAUUCGAAGGUGACGUGAAGUUAAGAAUGAUUUUGGAAAGCAGCCUUUAGUGAGCUGCGAUGUUCAACACGGUUGAGGACUGUGAAGUUGUCAGUGCGAGUAACCUUUGUGUGAGAUGCCGAUGUUUGGAAAGUUAUAGAGUAAUGAAGUUGCAGUGGACUUUAUGUUGGACACGCAUAAGUGAUUGUCGGAUGUAUUCAAUGCGUGAAGCGCUGUGAAUCGCGAGUCCGAGUUGGAACUUGAAGAUACGCGUAGCUUGUGAAAAGAAUUGUUGUCUCAGUGAUAUCAAGACUGGAAUUUCGAUGAAAGAAUGCACCUCUCAAGUUAUAAAGAGUCUAAAGAUGAGGAAUUAUGCUAGAGAAUGUUUGAAACCUGCUUAAGUCGAAGAAAAGUGAGUUUCAAAGUAAAAUCUCCGUAAGCAAAUCGCAGGAAAUUCAGAAUCAUUAUGAAACUUUAAAAAUUCAUAACCUGAGUUCCGAAUAUCCGAUUUGAGAUCCGUUUGAAGCGUCGGAAAGAUACUGAGAUGAAUUGUGAGGUAUGAGUAUAGAAGUAAUUUUGGAGAUGGAAAGACGUUUGACGACUGUGUGAUGCUAAGUGACUACGAAGCAGAUUUUAUAAUAUGCUUGGACGUUGGUGUCUCAUCGACAAGAUAUAAUGAGUAGGAAGUUGUGGGAAUUGUAAGGACCCAAAGUGAAUUAUUGGAUUAUGACAUGUUAAUGGAUUCGAGUGAGAAUUCGGAAAUGACGCUAUUAUGAAGUAACAACGGUUUAUACUCCACUAUGGUUGUCGAAUACUAAUUGACAAAUUGGGGAACUGAUCACUCUCAAUCCAUUGUUAAUGGUAGACGAAAAUCAUGUUGGAUGUUAUAGCUUUGUCUUGCUAUCUUAAUAGUGGGGAAAGAGUAUUGAUGUUGUAUAGCGAAGGUAGUCGUUCACCAGUUUUUUUUAACUUGAUGAGAGGAGUGGUUGAGUAAGAGUUUGACGAAGUGAACAAUUUGGGGUAGUGAGUUUUGUGCAAGCGAAUGUCACAAAAGGGAAAGAUUUGGAAGUAACAUUGAAACAACGAUUUGAAAAUGAGUAUUAAGGAAAGUCUGCGUUGGAUUGAAAAUUUGUGAACCAUACAGUUGACGGAGUUUUAACAAGGCAGUGACUUAAAGAAGAAUUAUCAGAGUUGGGUAGCGGAAGCAUUAUGUUGCACUGUUGUUAUACGACUUGUAAGAACUGAAGGACGAUAUGUCAGAAGACUGUGAAGUGGAGUUAUCUUGAUGUUUGGAUUGAUAGACUGUUGGAAUAAGUGCGAUGAGUCAGGAUGCUGCAUUGAGUCGUCGAUUAUUGUGAAUCUGGUAAGAAUAGUAAUGUGUUUGUAUUCUUAUGGAAUCGUUGUUAUGCUGAAGAAGUAGUAAUUGAAGUGUUACCAAACGCGAUUUGGAUAUUUGAGAAUUGGAUACGAGAUUUGGUUACGAUGGUGUUGUCGAGUAGAUUUUCGAGGACGAAAAUAUUCUAAGUGGGGGAGAGUUGUAACGCCCGGAAAUUCGAUUAUUCGCUUAAUCUAGACGUUCGGAGUGUUUAGUGAAGUUUUCGUAUUUUGAGAUAAUUUAGUUGGUAUUAGUUCGAGAUAGCGGAUCGAUAUUUAAACAAAAAUUUUGAUAUUUUUAGUAUUAGAAAUAUUAUUGGAAUAAUAUUUGAAGUUUUGGGAAUUUUCUGAGUAAUUAAGAUUAGACCGGAAAUAUGAUAUAUUGGUCGAAUUUGGAUUGUCGGUGUUAUUUAAGGGCACAUUUGGAAUUAUUAAAUUGAAGUCGAAAAAUAAUAUUAAGAAUAAUAUUAUUUGUAAGUCGGAAUUAUUAUAUCAGUGGAAUAUUAUUAAGUGAGGUAUUGGUUAAUUUGAGUUAUUUAUCUUAUUGGGCCUAAAUUGGUUUGUAGAGAAUAAUAGAGAAGAGUUGUUAUAUGCUAAGCCCAAUUGAAAUAAUAAAAAUAGGGUUUUAGAGAUUGAGAAGAGGAGUGUUCUCAUUUGGGGGAAAAGUUGAAGAGAAGGAGGCUAUGUCUUGAAGGGGAGACUAGAAGCUUGAAGAUGCAAUUGGAGAUCCAUUGAGUUGCUUCCAUUGAUAAGGUGUUCGAGUAUGAAGACUUAGUUGUCGUAAAUCGAGUCGGUUGUCGCUCUGAUACGUAGCACUCGGGGGGACGAUUUAUAAUGUUUAUGAUGUUGUUGUUUAUUGUGAAUAUCCUAGUUUAUUAGGACGAUAUGUUAAGUGAAGUUUCUUUAUUAAUGUGAUGUUGUUUAUGUGAUUAAGAUGUUACUUGAUUCGGAAAUUGAGAAUCAUGACUCCGUUGUUUUAUUAAUAAAAGAAGUUAUUUUGUUUUAGAAAGUGCUAUGUAUCCGCUAAAUGCGAUGAAGUUAUUUAUU